rnacentral:rRNA from 1 species
GCAGCAGCCGCGGUAAUACGGAGGGUGCAAGCGUUACUCGGAAUUACUGGGCGUAAAGCGUGCGUAGGUGGUGGUUUAAGUCCGUUGUGAAAGCCCUGGGCUCAACCUGGGAAUUGCAGUGGAUACUGGGUCACUAGAGUGUGGUAGAGGAUAGUGGAAUUUCCGGUGUAGCAGUGAAAUGCGUAGAGAUCGGAAGGAACAUCUGUGGCGAAGGCGACUAUCUGGGCCAACACUGACACUGAGGCACGAAAGCGUGGGGAGCAAACAGGAUUAGAUACCCCUGUAGUCCCUGUCUCUUAUAC